AAGUAACGGCGAGUGAAGCGGCAAAAGCUCAAAUUUGAAAUCUAGCACUUUCAGUGUUCGAGUUGUAAUUUGAAGAAGGUAACUUUGGAAUUGGCUCUUGUCUAUGUUCCUUGGAACAGGACGUCACAGAGGGUGAGAAUCCCGUGCGAUGAGAUGUCCAAUUCUAUGUAAAGUGCUUUCGAAGAGUCGAGUUGUUUGGGAAUGCAGCUCUAAGUGGGUGGUAAAUUCCAUCUAAAGCUAAAUAUUGGCGAGAGACCGAUAGCGAACAAGUACAGUGAUGGAAAGAUGAAAAGAACUUUGAAAAGAGAGUGAAAAAGUACGUGAAAUUGUUGAAAGGGAAGGGCUUGAGAUCAGACUUGGUAUUUUGUGUUCCUUAUUCUUUUUGGAUUUGGUUCCUCACAGCUUACCGGGCCAGCAUCGGUUUGGAUGGUAGGAUAAUGACAUUGGAAUGUAGCUUUGCUUCGGUGAAGUGUUAUAGACUUUGUUGAUACUGCCUAUCUAGACCGAGGACUGCGUCUUUGACUAGGAUGCUGGCGUAAUGAUCUUAAGCCGCCCGUCUUGAACACGGGACCCAAAAC
rnacentral:rRNA from 1 species